UACAGUGGUCUCAAGCGUUGUUCGGAUUCAUUGGGCGUAAAGGGUGCGUAGGUGGCGUGGAAAGUUGAGUGUGAAAUCCUAGGGCUUAACCUUAGAACUGCACUCAAUACUCCCAUGCUAGAGGAAUGUAGAGGAGAGUGGAAUUCACGGUGUAGCAGUGAAAUGCGUAGAUAUCGUGAGGAAGACCAGUUGCGAAGGCGACUCUCUGGGCAUUUCCUGACACUGAGGCACGAAGGCCAGGGGAGCAAACGGG
rnacentral:rRNA from 1 species